CUCGGAAAUGGAUCCUUCCGCUGAAGAUCCGUGAAGGCAGACUGACGGCGCUGCAAAAUGUCGUCAUCACGUUGCGCGACGCUCCUCCUACAGCAGAAGAAGGAAGUCUCGCCGCAAAGGUACAAUGCCUAGGUCUUAUUUUCGGGGUAGGGCUUAUAUUGCAGCCCACCCCGAAAAUCCGACUAGGGCUUAUUUUCGGGGUAGGGUUUAUUUUCGGGGAAACACGGUAUUAGU